rnacentral:rRNA from 1 species
UAAACUACGAUUAGAUACCCUAUUAUUUUAAACGUUAAAUAUAAAUACUUGAGUAGUAAUAGUUAUAUUCUUGAAACUCAAAGAAUUUGGCGGUGUUUUAGUCCUUUCAGAGGAACCUGUCCCGUAAUCGAUAGCCCACGUUAGACCUUACUUAAUUUAGUAAUCAGCUUGUAUACCGCCGUCGUCAGAAUGUCCUUAGAGGGAGAAAAUUUUCUUGAAUUUUAAUUAGAAAUGAUGUCAGGUCAAGGUGCAGUUAAUAAUUAAGUGGUGAUGGGUUACAAUAAAUUUAUUUAUUAUGAAUAAUGACUUGUAAUAGUUGUUUGAAGGUGGAUUUGAUGGUAAUUAUAUUAAGUUUAUUUAAUUGAUUUUGGCUCUAAAACAUGCACACAUCGCCCGUCGCUCUUA